UUGCCAUGGUUUUCUAAUUAAAAUUUCCAUGGUUGUAUGAGAAAUUUGCCAUGUGUGUAAAAAAAUAACAAAUUAUGAACAAAGAGCCAUGGCAAAAGUUAAUUUUGCAGUGGUAAGUAAUGUAAAUUUGCCAUGGCAAAAACAUGUUGCCAUGGUUAGUUGAGAAAAAAAUGUUUUCUUGGCAUGUAAGAACUUAGAAAAGAAUGUUGUCUAUCUUUAGGAUCUAAAAAUUGCCAUGAUGGUAAAAUUAGUAUAGAUUUGUUGCCAUGCUGCCAAAAUGAAGACCUGGAAAAGCAUGCUCCCAAGUAUAUCAAGAAUGUCAUUCCUCUGCAAUUUCAACAUUGUUUUGCCAAGGCAACUACUGUUGCAUGUUUUGCCAUAUUUUCAACUUGUUUUACCAUGAUGUCAACAAGAAUUAGCCAUGGGAACUACUAAAAUCUGAAGAGUAUAGGUUUUCAACAUGAUUAGUAGUAUACAGCUGCUGCUACAUACUGUCUAAUUAAAGCAGAUUCGUUCAUUAGCCACUUAUAAUCUAUCAUCCACCAAACUCUUCAGUGCAUCAAUAAUAGUGUGGUGAAAACUAAACAACAAUCCAGGUGCUUAUUGAUAGUAGUAUCUCAGUGUACACGACUAAUCAGGCAGACACACGCGCUAGUAGUUAAUCAUGGUUACUGCGUGAGCCGGACCUGCGCCGCGGUGGUGAGGUGCGGGAAGUCGUUGGCGAUGAGGGGCCUCAUGGCGUCCACGUACCUCAGGUCGGCCGCCUUCCGAACCAGAUCGACGAACUUGCCCUGCCCUGUUGCGAUCCCAACCUGCAUACCAAGCACCCACAAAAAGAUCACAUACAAAGUCAAUAAUGGCGCACUCAUUUCCCAGAUCAAUCAAUGGAGUAACUGGCCGGAGCAUCGAACCUGGAUGACGAGGAGGUUUGGAAUGCGAAGGACCCGUCAUACGUGACGCACCGCAGGGCCGCAACCUUCCGUGACGCCAUUAUUGAACGCGGCGAGGACGCCCGGCCGCACCGGAGGUGAGCAGCGUCGUCGAUGGGGACCUCCCCGGAGGCGGGAGCGGAGUCGCCCGGAGCAGAGCCAUCGACGGCUCACCUCGUUGGUGCGCGCGCGGGGCAGGGACUCACCACAGCCGGCAUGACCAGCGCUUCGAUGGGGACCUCCCCGGAGGCGGCGGCGCCUCGACCUCCCCGGCAGCCUCAGCGACCCGUGCACCGCGGAUCCCCGACGAACGCCAUCCCGCAGCACCGGCCACCGCCAAAUCCGCAGGUCAGGCCACCAACGCCACGGCCCGGCAACGCCAGGAUCUCGUCGAGAUCGAACCCAAGGGGCGCGGCCGUGGCUACCUUCUCCGGGAGAGCCCAGUCCCUACGCCGUGCGCAGGCGUGGAGAGAGAUGGGAGGGAGGUCAGGGAGGAGAUGGGAAGGAGGAGAAGGAAGUAGAGGCAGGUGGAGCGCGGGGCGGCUCACCGGCGGCUUGCCUCACGACCAGCUGCCGGAGGAGGCGGCUGGAGAUGGGAGAGGAGUAGGUGAGUUGGGGGUGGGGGAUUGAGCGAGUGGAGGAGGUGGAUGAUAGGACUGGGUUCACGUUCGCGUCGACUGUUUGUUUCACCGAACGAGCUUCC
rnacentral:lncRNA from 1 species